UUCUCAUGCCGGCUGAGCCAUCCGAUUCAACGGUCCCGCCGCGGCGAAGCCCAGCUACGAAACAAAAAAAAAAAACUUCUCCGAUUUCGAAACAAAGGAAACGGGAUCCGCAAUCAAAACGAACACGGUGGGGAGGCUCGCCAUCAGUAGAAAGAUCACGACGAACGAAGUCGAACGAAUCCCCCCCAAAACCUCCAACCCCAGGCAGGCCACGAGCACGAGCGACGAGCAGGCGAGAGAACGAUGGGCGGCGGCGAUGUGGACCACGGCGUCGAGGGCAUCCGCCGCGAGUUCAAUCGCCUUAGCAUCCAGCCACAAGCGACGACUGAUGAAGAGCAGUUCGAUUAUCCCUUCUUCAUCGAGGAACAAACUA